rnacentral:misc_RNA from 1 species
GAUGAAGAACGUAGCGAAAUGCGAAAAGUAGUGUGAAUUGCAGAAUUCAGUGAAUCAUCGAAUCUUUGAACGCACAUUGCGCCCUCUGGUAUUCCGGAGGGCAUGCCUGUUCGAGCGUCAUUAUCACCCCUCAAGCCCGGCUUGUUGUUGGAUGCAGCGCUUAUCCCGCUCCUCCCAAAGAUAAUGACGGCGUCUGCGACGACUCCUGUACACUGAGCUUUCGGGCACGUACACGGCUAGAAGUCCAGACCCGGUCGCCGUCCCCCCCGCGGGGACACCCAUUACCACAAGGUUGACCUCGGAUCAGGUAGGAAUACCCGCUGAACUUAAGCAUAUCAAUAAGCGGAGGA